rnacentral:rRNA from 1 species
UUUCCCUACGGGGCGCAGCAGUGAGGAAUAUUGGUCAAUGGUCGGGAGACUGAACCAGCCAAGCCGCGUGAGGGAGGAAGGUACAGAGUAUCGUAAACCUCUUUUGUCAGGGAACAAAGGCGGGGACGUGUCCCCGGAUGAGUGUACCUGAAGAAAAAGCAUCGGCUAACUCCGUGCCAGCAGCCGCGGUAAUACGGAGGAUGCGAGCGUUAUCCGGAUUUAUUGGGUGUAAAGGGAGCGUAGGUGGCAGGGCAAGUCAGAUGUGAAAACCCGGGGCUCAACUCCGGGCGUGCAUUUGACACUGU